rnacentral:rRNA from 1 species
ACGGCGUGCAGCAGGCGCGAAAACUUUGCAAUGCGGGAAACCGUGACAAGGGAACUCCGAGUGCCCGUAAAUUCGGGCUGUUAAUCUGUUUAAAUAAUAGGUUGAGAAAGGGCCGGGCAAGACCGGUGCCAGCCGCCGCGGUAAUACCGGCGGCCCGAGUGGUGGCCACUAUUACUGGGCUUAAAGCGUCCGUAGCUGGUCUGUUAAGUCUCUGGGGAAAUCUACCGGCUUAACCGGUAGGCGUCUCAGGGAUACUGGCAGACUAGGGACCGGGAGAGGUGAGAGGUACUCCAGGGGUAGGAGUGAAAUCCUGUAAUCCUUGGGGGACCACCUGUGGCGAAGGCGUCUCACCAGAACGGCUCCGACAGUGAGGGACGAAAGCUGGGGGAGCAAACCGGAUUAGAUACCCGGGUAGUCCCAGCUGUAAACGAUGCGCGUUAGGUGUAUCGGUGACCACGAGUCACCGAGGUGCCGAAGGGAAACCGUGGAACGUGCCGCCUGGGAAGUACGGUCGCAAGGCUGAAACUUAAAGGAAUUGGCGGGGGAGCAC